rnacentral:lncRNA from 1 species
CAGAGAGGGAAGCCUGAGCUGCAGGAGAAAAGCCUGCAGGCCUCCUGGGGAGAACUGCACCUUCACAUUAAUGGAAAUUGGAACAGUAAUUCAGCCUCAGUUUUUAUUUACAAUGGUGACAUGGAAAAACCACUGCUGGAUUUCCAACAUGAGUCCAGACAGAGAUAGCUCCAAAAGUUCCCACUGUGACAGCCCACCUCUUUUACAGACACCAGGGAAUACUUACAAUGCAGACACCCAAAGCACUGGACAGAAAAACAGCUCUCAGUCUGAGCAAGAUUAUGCUGAGAGGAAAAAAGAAGUUAAAACCAUCUUAGGUAAAAACUCAGUUUAGACGUAAGAUUGAUCAAGUCAGCCAGAAAAUACUAUCUUAAAAAGAAUUUCUCUCUCAACAAGCAAAAUACACAACUACUCUCAGCAUGAGAAACAUGAGCAUUACGAAGAAAAGGGGCAUAUUCUCAGCAGAAUUUUAGAAGGUUUCUCUUCCAUCUCUGCUGCUCUCUCAUCUCCUAGCCAUUGAAUGGGGGUUCCAUAUUGAAAUACAUCUCACAAUUUCCACCAGCACUUUUUGA